rnacentral:rRNA from 1 species
GACGGGGGGGAGCAAGCGUUGUUCGGAUUUACUGGGCGUAAAGGGCGUCUAGGCGGAUUUGUAAGUCAGGUGUGAAAGCCCCCGGCUCAACCGGGGGAACUGCACUUGAUACUGCUGGUCUUGAGUUCGGAAGAGGGAAGCGGAAUUCCUGGUGUAGCGGUGAAAUGCGUAGAUAUCAGGAAGAACACCGGUGGCGAAGGCGGCUUCCUGGUCCGUAACUGACGCUGAAGCGCGAAAGUGUGGGGAGCAAACAGGAUUAGAUACCCCAGUA